rnacentral:rRNA from 1 species
CUAAAGCCAUAGUGCGAGUCAAAUGUUCUUCGUGAACAUGGCGUACUGCUCAGUAACACGUGGAUAACCUGCCUUUAGGUCUGGCAUAACCCCGGGAAACUGGGGAUAAUUCCGGAUAGAUCAUAGAUGCUGGAAUGCGCUUUGAUCCAAAGCUAUUGUGCCUAAGGAUGGGUCUGCGGUCUAUCAGGUUGUAGUGGGUGUAAUGUACCUACUAGCCUACGACGGAUACGGGUUGUGGGAGCAAGAGCCCGGAGAUGGAUUCUGAGACAUGAAUCCAGGCCCUACGGGGCGCAGCAGGCGCGAAAACUUUACAAUGCGGGGAACCGCGAUAAGGGGACACCGAGUGCCAGCAUCCUAUGUUGGCUGUCCAUAUGUCUAAAUCACAUGUGUUAGCAAGGGCCGGGCAAGACCGGUGCCAGCCGCCGCGGUAACACCGGCGGCCCGAGUGGUGGCCACUAUUAUUGGGUCUAAAGGGUCCGUAGCCGGUUUGGUCAGUCUUCCGGGAAAUCUGACGGCUCAACCGUUAGGCUUUCGGGGGAUACUACCAGGCUUGGGACCGGGAGAGGUAAGAGGUACUACGGGGGUAGGAGUGAAAUCUUGUAAUCCCUGUGGGACCACCAGUGGCGAAGGCGUCUUACCAGAACGGGUCCGACGGUGAGGGACGAAAGCUAGGGGCACGAACCGGAUUAGAUACCCGGGUAGUCCCAGCUGUAAACUAUGCUCGCUAGGUGUCAGGGACGGUGCGACCGUUUCUGGUGCCGCAGGGAAGCCGUGAAGCGAGCCACCUGGGAAGUACGGUCGCAAGGCUGAAACUUAAAGGAAUUGGCGGGGGAGCACUACAACGGGUGGAGCCUGCGGUUUAAUUGGACUCAACGCCGGAAAACUCACCGGGGGCGACAGCAAUAUGUAGGUCAAGCUAAAGACUUUACCAGAAUCGCUGAGAGGAGGUGCAUGGCCGUCGUCAGUCGUANUGANNUNU